CCUGCCUCUGCUUCCCAAGUGCUGGGAUUACAGGACUCUCACAGCACACCACCACUCCUCCAUUACUCCAGCCUGUGUCUUCUCCCAUUUCCACGACGAUACCAUCAAACCUGGACCAGUCUCAGUCCUCCCAACCUCACCUGCCCUUCACCGUGCUCAAGAGAGGACCUGGCCUCCCACUUCACUCCUCUGACAGUUGUUAACAGGAAAGAUGGUCAUUUUAAAGUUGCCUGUCAAUUCUGCAUCUGGAGAUGGUGUGCCAGUUAAUCUUGACAACUUGACUGGCUUAACAGACUGCAGAAAAGAUGCCAAGAGUUCAGCAGCUUUUCUCUACCAUGCCAUUCCUCUCUGAUGUUUCUGCUCUGGACCUCCUGAUCUUGGCCUGAAACCUCUAAAACCGUGAGCCGAAAGGAAAUCUCUCCUCCUUCAAAUUUUGGAUUUCAUAUAUUUUGUCUCAGUGACAGAAGGUUAAUAUGGAUGAUGAUGGAGAAAAGUCACCCAUAGGGAAAAACACCCUCUGUGUGUAGGGGGUUCCUGGAGCAAGGCCUUCAAUGCUAGGUCCUGAGGGAACUGAUACAAGUGAUGACCCUACACUGAUGGAACUUUCAGGAAUGAAGAGAACAGCAUGGUGAUGUAUCCUUAUCCACCUUAUUCCCUGGUUCUGGCACUGUGAGACUUCUGGCUUCUCUCCAAAGUCCAAAUGACCGUGAAAGCUGAAUAUUUUAAAACAAUUUUGGACACAGAGGCAGCCACGACAAUGCAACUAAAGAUACUCUCCAAAGAGGACUUCUGGAAUUGCACUAAAGAUACUCUCCAAAGAGGACUUCUAGAAUUGCUUCAGAAGAUGGCAAGAACAUGGGCUGGUAUAUGUUUUAUCAUUUGCUCCCCAAAUAAUCUGACUAAUAUGGAAGAUCAGAUAAGAAGAAAAUGACAAGGGACUCCAGCCACAGGCAAGAAAGCACCUGGAGCCCAUACCUGCAGAGAGUAAUGCCACAGUCCUUUGAAAGAGGUCUUUGGAAGGGCUGAACUGGGAUAUCCUGGCAGAGUAGAUGAGCACACGGACUCAAGGAGGCAGAAGAACUUGCCCCAGGAAGUAGACAGAGAAGCUGCCAGUCUUCCAUCUGAGUCUGUACUUUUGGGGCUUAUUGUCUGCUGUGGACCCAUGAAGAGUGCCCCGCGGGGCUUUGGCUGUCCUGGAAAACAGGAAAGGCCAUAUCUCGGCUGAUCCGUUCCCACUCCACAAGUGGUGCUUCAUUUAUAUGCUUACUGGUAUUUCUGAUGGGUGCUGCCUGCUGCCUCAGGGUGCCUCUUUCAGCAGCAGAAGAAAAGGCAGCACUCAGCCCCCAGGGGCCCAACAGAUGGAGCCUUGUGUGUGUUUGAAGGCUGCUGAGGCCUUCCCAUUCAGCACCAUCUAGACUUCAGCAAGUUGCCGAGCAGAGUCAAAUCAUCAAAACACAGAACUGACACAUGCCUUUAAUAUUUCAGAUCAUAUUUGCAAAUGAGUUCUAAUAAUACACAAACCCACAUUUUUACAAAAAAGGAAACAAACCCACAGCAACCCGUUAUUCCAAGAAGGAAGCAGUGGGGUGGAAACAAAUCAAAAAGGGCAUAUUUUCCCCCUUGAAGACCAGUGUAAAACUCCCCAGGAACAAAUAACUUAUUAUAAGCUGAAUCAAUUCCUCGCAAUCACAAUUUUAUUUUCUCCUAAACUGUAAGGUCCCUAUAGCAACUAGAUAAGUCAAAGACUUAAAUAUAUUCACAAAUCAAACCUUACACUCUUCCCAGAGGAUGUAUUUGUUUGGUAAAAAACAUUACUGCUUGUUUCUAAAACAGAGCUGGAUGGGGCUGUUUGAAUAGAACUGGAUUUUCAGCAAAACUA